GAUACGGGAAGUUUUCCUCAUUAUGCUCCUAUGCCCAGUUGGUCGGGUGUAUAUGACUUGCAGUGAGCUCAGGGACACAGAUUGGUUAGUUCAUCCAUGAUGCUGAGUCCUAUCUUGAAUGGUAUCUUGGCCGCCGCGUUUUAGAUGCUUAGGUCCGUGAUUGAAGUGUUAUUUGUAGUUUUUUUCUUCUUUUCAGAAUUCAUAAUGUUUGUAACUAUAAAAAACAAUAUACUUUUAUACCUCUGUUUCUCUUUUCUUUGUUUUCAUGAGAAAGUAAUUGUCAUUGGCAGCACUAUAAAAAACAAUCUCUCUGCAUUAUUCUCUGCUUCAUACAUAAUUACAUGAUUUUAGGUUUAAUAUCUAGCUUUUUAGUUGUAGAUUACUUAUAUGGGUCUUUAACUGCAAUAUCAAAUUUCUUACUUUUUUCAUGUUUUUACUUUUGACUUGCUGAUAUCUAUUUUAGAAUGUGGAAUUAUAUCUAAUAUUUGUUUAUUUUCUGACUGUCUUAAUGCCUCACUGUCUGUAGAUUUUAAAUUUUGGUAAGAACCAUGAAAAUGAUUGAAAAGCAUGAUGUUGUUUUCGAAAUAUAUAUUAGCAUCCCCUUCUCACCCAACUGCCAAAAUUAGGUGGCUUGACUUGAGGUGUUUUCAGAUAUUGUAAUUGAAUGAACAAUUAGGUUACACUUUAACAAAAAUGUGUAAAAAGGGUUGAUAACCGCAUUUUUAAGAGAGAAGUACUAUUUUGUCUAAUCCUUUUGAGUUCCCAUAUAUCUUCAUUGUUUCAUUUAUACAUCUGUUGGAGGAUUGGAGGGGAUUGGGAGGCAGAUGAGUGAGACUUCUGAUGGUUACACAGAAAUAAAUGGUCUCUCACAUCUUGAACCAGAUUAUUAUUGGUUUGGCAGUGCUUCUGUUUUCCACAAUGUAAGCCCAAGAUUAUGCAAUGGUGCUCAAUUUGGAUUUGUUGCAUAGCUAGAAGGAUUAUCUUGCAGUAAUUGUUGAAGACUGUUAUAUGCCAAGCACCGUAUAUUUUUUCAAGGAGCUUCCUCAGUUUGUUGUCAAGGCUGGUUCAAUUUUAAGUAAUAUUUAUGGUGUAGAUUGGGAAAACAAACUUGAGGUAUUAAUUUUUCAGAGAUAGUUUAUGCUUGAAAUUAGCCCUGUUUUUAUAUCUUCCAACAUUCUGUUUUCUUGGAGUUACUGUGUGCUUGAAAACUUGCUGAAACAACAAUGGAACAGUUAUUUUGUUUUUUGUUAACUGCUGAAACAGGUGCUAGGCCUACAGGCCAUAUAUUUUGCUACCUUAACUGCAGGGUAAAAUAUGUCUGGACUACAUCUUGCUUUUGUUUCUUACGGAAAUAGGCAUCCUGCAUUUUUUUUCUUUGAACAUUAGUGCUUGAAAGCUUAGCUGCUGAAACAAAAACAGAACACUUUUAAUGUUUUUUGUUAACUGCUGAAACAGGCCGUUGGCCUACAGGACAUAUAUUUUGCCAUCUUAACUUCAGAGGCAAUAUAUGUGUGAACUGUAUGUUGUUUCUGUUUCUUAUGGAAACAGACAAUUUUUUGCAAUCACAUCUUUUGUAAUCAAGAACGUUCUGUUAAUUGUACAAUGUCUUUUCAUAUCAGUUAUGUUGAAUGUAUACAAAAAUCAAGAUGCUUAUCUUA